rnacentral:rRNA from 1 species
GUGAACGCUGGCGGUAGGCCUAACACAUGCAAGUCGAACGGCAGCACAGUAAGAGCUUGCUCUUACGGGUGGCGAGUGGCGGACGGGUGAGGAAUACAUCGGAAUCUACUUUUUCGUGGGGGAUAACGUAGGGAAACUUACGCUAAUACCGCAUACGACCUACGGGUGAAAGCAGAGGAUCUUCGGACCUUGCGCGAUUGAAUGAGCCGAUGUCGGAUUAGCUAGUUGGCGGGGUAAAGGCCCACCAAGGCGACGAUCCGUAGCUGGUCUGAGAGGAUGAUCAGCCACACUGGAACUGAGACACGGUCCAGACUCCUACGGGAGGCAGCAGUGGGGAAUAUUGGACAAUGGGCGCAAGCCUGAUCCAGCCAUACCGCGUGGGUGAAGAAGGCCUUCGGGUUGUAAAGCCCUUUUGUUGGGAAAGAAAAGCAGCAGGUUAAUACCCCGCUGUUCUGACGGUACCCAAAGAAUAAGCACCGGCUAACUUCGUG